rnacentral:lncRNA from 1 species
GAGCGUAUAACAUUUCCCCGACCUACCCCUAAUAUAUAUAUGUACAUAAUCAUACCAAAACCUCUAGACUCGGCUAACUCCGGGAGACAUGGAGCUUACUGAUCGACCGCUGAACACGAGUAAUCACCUACUGAGGAGGCCUGUCAGACUCUCAACCUGGAGCUGCAACAUGAAAUGCAGCACCACGGCAUAAAAGGGGCGUCAGUAUGAAAAGAAUGUACUUUGUAUGCAAAUAUAUGAAAGAAUCAGUAAGUACAAAAGAGUGCAAAGAACAACCCGUAAGACAUAUGCCACAUAAGGCCAUCCGCGUCUGAGUAUAGCUCAGUCGGUAUAUAUAUAGUAAUAGAAAUAAUAUCUCUGAAUGCAGUGGUAUAUAUAUAAUAUAAUAAUAUCCCCGACUGCAGUAUAUACAAAGAUAAACAUAUAAACCUAGAUGAUAUCAUGAAUGGAGUAUUUAUGACGAGACGUUUCAUUAAGCUUUUCUUUAGAAAAUUUUUCGUUAAGGCAGAUUCAUCCCGAAAAGGAUCAAAGAGAUAUCCAUUACAUACCUUGAUUAGCAGCCCUCAAAUAAGUCAUAACGAGAGCAACUCCUAUAAGUUUACUCUACACAAAACAAUAACCAUGCUAGUGUCAAAUAACCUAAAAAAAGUAACGAUGAACGACCAACCAACCACUCCACCAUUAUGUGACAUUUUUCCACGCCCUUUCUCCUCCCAAAGCCCAUAAAAAUAGCAGCACAAUAGACAACCCAAUAACAUCAUGAAACAUCCCAUAAAAUAGUCCAAAAUAGUCCACUACAAGUUGAACAACUUGAAGUCAUGGCUUUCGAUCGCAGUCUCAUGAGUUCUUAAUAUUAUGUAACAAAUUUAUCGAUCUUUUCAGCAGAAAAAAGGUAUGAAAGAGGGAAAUAUACUUACCUUACUGGGUGAAGAACUCAGCUCGUAACUUGAGUUCUUCAACUCUUAGGAUUUCCCCCAAACUAGAACCUGAAAAGAAAAACAAAUCAAUUAGGGCUUGAAGGAGCUUAGAAUGGCUAGCUUUAGAGAGAGCUUCAAUGGUUUCCU